GGCAGCAGCCGCGGGAACACCGGCAGCUCUAGUGGUAACAAUUUUAUUGGGCCUAAAGCGUCCGUAGCCGGUUUAAUAAGUCUCUGGUGAAAUCCUGCAGCUUAACUGUGGGAAUUGCUGGAGAUACUAUUAGACUUGAGACCGGGAGAGGUUAGAGGUACUCCCAGGGUAGAGGUGAAAUUCUGUAAUCCUGGGAGGACCGCCUGUUGCGAAGGCGUCUAACUGGAACGGUUCUGACGGUGAGGGACGAAAGUUAGGGGCGCGAACCGGAUUAGGAUACCCCGGGUAGUCCUAACUGUAAACGAUGCGGACUUGGUGUUGGGUGGCUUUGAGCUGCUUCAGUGCCGAAGGGAAGCUGUUAAGUCCGCCGCCUGGGAAGUACGGUCGCAAGACUGAAACUUAAGGAAUUGGCGGGGGAGCACCACAACGCGUGGAGCCUGCCGGUUUAAUUGGAUUCAACGCCGAACAUCUCACCAGAGGCGACAGCUGUAUGAUAGCCAGGUUGAUGACUUUGCUUGACUAGCUGAGAAGUGGUGCAUGG
rnacentral:rRNA from 1 species